UGUGGCGUGGGACGAUGAAGACCGGAGCCAGCUGCGAGACUUGAUGUGAAUUGCAGGAAUCAUUGAGCACUGAUUUUUCGAACGCACAUUGCGGCCUCGGGUCCUUCCCGGGGCCACGUCUGUCU
rnacentral:rRNA from 1 species